GGGUCAGUAGGUUGGUCGUGCCACCGGUACGUACUGGUCUCACUGAUUCCUCCUUCCUGAAGAACCGUAAUGCUAUUAAUUUGGUGUUGCGGGGAAACAGGACUGUUACUUUGAAAAAAUUAGAGUGUUUAAAGCAAGCUAACGCUUGAAUACAUUAGCAUGGAAUAAUGAAAUAGGACGUUCGAUCCUAUUCUGUUGGUUUCUAGGAUUGACGUA
rnacentral:rRNA from 1 species